GAAACUCUUCAGGUCCGAGGAAAAUGCAGUUUUGGGCCUAGCUUCCUGGGAUGCCACUUCCCAAAUGAGAUCAGAACCCUAAAGGAAUUUAGAAAUCCUUUAAUGGACUCCAUAGUAGAGAGGAGUAAGGGAGGGCAGUGAAGCACGUACAAUGGACACAUCGUGCUGUAACAAUGGUUCUUCAAAAGGGGAGUAACUUCCUGUUCUCUUUCAGUGUGUCCCACCCCACCCCACCCCACCAUAGGUGCUCCACUCAGGUGACUAAAAAGCAAUUCCCACAAUGUGGAGAUGGGUCUUUGGAGUCAUCUAUAAGAAAAGGCCAGGACAGUGUCAUGCACAGAUGUGGUAGGUAAUGGUCCUUGCUGUAAAGCAUAGUGUUGUACAAAGGCAUAGGAUGAAGACCAUGUAGCUGCUCUGCAGCAGUCAGCCAGGGAUACAGUUUGUAGAAAUGCAGUCAAUUCAGCCAUCAUUCACGUGGAAUGUGCAAGGACUGUCUGCAGUGAAGCUUUGUUUCAGAGCUGUAGCAGGUAUUUAUGCAGUUUGGUAUCCACUUGGAUAAGUAUUGUGUGGAGACAGCUAUUCCCUUGUGGAGAUCAGACAGAUAUAAAGUGUCUACUGGAUUUUCUAAAAUGCUUAGUCCUGACUAUGUCAAACGCAAGUGCCAUCUUCCAUAGAGGGUGAGUAAUAUUAAUCACUUCUUGGGGAAUCAUGUGGUUUAGGGUAGUAAGUGGGUAGGUAAAUGGGCUGAAUGUGAAAACUAGAAAUGACUUUUGGUAAAAAUUCUAAUGGGGUCUGAGAAUGACCUCAUCCUUGAUGAGGAGCGUAUAAGGUAGAUUUGCCACGAGGGCUGUAAUUACUCCUAUUUGUUGCGUGGAUGUGAUUGUGAUGAGAAAGGACACUGCUAAUGGUUUGAAGGGAGUCUUGUUAGUCAGUCCAGUACAAGGCUGAGAGCCCAUGGUAGAACAAAUGGGCGUAAAUGCGGAUGUGUUUUGGAUAGACCAGCUAAGACCCAUUUGAUGAUCGGAUGAGCACACACAGACGCUUACCAGUUCAUGAAAGACCGAGAUAGCUGAGUGGUAACUCUUAUGGGGCUGAUGGAGAGCCCUGCAUCACUGAGGUCCAUUAACUAUUCCUGAACAGUUGGUACUGGGGAGGUAUGUGCUUGUAGAUGGCACUGAUUGCACCAUUCUUGAAACUGCUUCCAUUUGUUUCAGUAGGUGUGCCUCAGAAGGACAACUACUACUGAAGAGGAUGUGUUUUACUCAGAAGGCAACUAUGCCAUUGUGAAACCAUGAAGAAGCCAGGUGGGCUAUGUCUUGUGAUUGUGCUACCCUCUUAAACAGGUCCUGAAUUUGCUUCAGGUCGUUAGCAGGGGGAGAGAAAGGAAACACAGCCUCAUUGGGGACAAAGACAAUUGUGAGAGUGGAGACUGACAAUCUGACUGAGUGAGGAGAGCACUACUUAAAACUCCCAUUUUCUUCCAAGGAUGGCAGAAAAGGAACUGAGGGGACCCAGGUUAUGCACACAGCUAACAGACGAAACAGCACAAAAUGACAACUGUUCAUGCGUGACUUGGGAAGGCCCUGCAAGGCUAAAAAUCUGAUUGCCGGCACAAGGAUGCACUAACACUUGAGUGGAGCAUACCCAGCGACACCACUCAAAGGAGAACUCUGACCAGUUUGUUUGGACUUGCAAAUUUUAACCUGCCCUUAUCCACAUGUGCAUUCUGAAUCAAAACAUAGCCAUACGUAUAGUAGAUAUACAGCCAGGUCUUACCAGAGUCACUAGUUCAGGGCUGAUCUAGUGAUUCCGAAAUCAAGAAAUAAGCAUCUUAUUCCAGGUUGUCUGUUCUCAGCUUUGAAGUAGAUAUAACAGCAGGCCUUUGACAAGAAUCUUGUGGGAUACUUACCACUAUGUAGAAGUUCUGACACUAUUAAGGAUAAUUACUACAACUGUCCAGUGAAAACAAAUCUUAAUCCCAAAACAUUAAAUAUCCUUUAUUUCAGAAGCCACCUUGGGAAAAAGAUCAGUUUUGAUGGUCACUCAUUUCAGAAACCCCACAGCAAUUCACUAAAACCUCUCUGAAUACCAAAGAGCACAUCAGAGAAGAAUAGAUUCUUUCCCAAGCCCAGAAAUAUAUAUCACAGAACACCUCAAAACUUGCAAGUCAUCAUCUCAGCCAACUGACAAUGCAGGGCUUCCAACAGAUCCUCACAAAGGGAAAUACAAAAGAUGGUGGAUCUCCAUAUUUAGAGGUUAAGACUGAGCUUGACAAAGCCUUGGCUGGAGUUGAUCCUGUUUGGACUAGAUGACUUCCUGAGGUCUGUUCCAACCCUCAACUAUAAAACUCCUGUCUUCAGACCAAAAUCUGGCUCUCCACCGCAUUAUGUGCAACUCCCACUCAACUCAAUCAGUUUGCAGUCAUUGUGAAUAGAAUAAGCAGCACUUAGGCUACAUCUACACUGCACACUGAGAAAGUUUACAACAUUAGACCACAAAAAAGUGUUCCUUUAAACUAGAUCAAAAACAACAAAAAUAUAUUUAAAAAUAUGCAAAUUCUUUAACAGUCUCUCCCUCCGUUUGCUUUUCAUGAGUUCAAGAAAAAUCUUUUCAAGAGUCAAAAUCUGCUAGAGAAACAAGUCUUUCACACCCCUAGUACCUGUUGUCACGUUUUUCAUAUUAAAGCAUUCUGCAGCCCUGUUUAAACACUGUUUAACAGACUCUAGAACAGCAGCAUUUAAUAAAAUUUGUGGAUGACUUAAUUUUAAUAAAUCUUAUAGGUUUGAGGAAACAUCCCCUGCCUUCUUCACUCCCCUCACCCACCAACAGCAACUUUGCCUCUAAAAUGUUUUUUUAAAAUGUCCCAGAUUCACUUUUAAGUUUAAGCCUUUUCACAAGCAAACUACAUGCCCAAAGGAGCAAGUCUGGUCUCAGUCAAAAAAGGCAGAAUAGGAUAUAUUUGGUAGCUGAGCUCUGAAGUCACUAACUAAAGCAGCCAUUGUCUUUAACUUUAAUUACAGAGAGCAGGAUGACAGUUGCCUUUAGACACUGCACAAAGCAUAGUACAGAGUUAGGUAAAUACAAGAAUGAACAAUAUUUUAUUGAUGCCAACUUCCCUUGAGAGAUGAAGCACUUCCUGACAACUUACCCUGUUUAACCUGUGUUACUUGGCUUCUACAGCCCAACAAAUUUCUCUGAAGACUCUAGGAUGUUAGCAUCCUUCUUACUGAAGAAAUUCUGAAGAGACUGAGCAAAUUAGGACAGACACUUAAAAGGCCAAGAAAGUAGGACAUGUGAGGAAAGAUGGGAAAAAAUAACUAGGUUUGUUUAGUAAGAAGAGGAGACCAAGGUGGACAUAACAGUCUUCAAUUUUAUAAAAGCUAUUAUAAAGAGAAGAGUGACAAGUGGUACUCCUUACCCAAUGAGGACAGGACAUGAAGAAAGGGGAUUCAACUGCAGCAUAAGAGAUAAGAUAUUAGGAAAAGAUUUAGGAUGUUAGGAAAAACUAUUUGAGUCUAAGCACUGAAUAAAUCACCUAGAGAGAUUAUGGAAUUUUGCUUAUUAGAGGUUUUCAAGAACAGGUUAGAAAAGUCAUAUGUCAAGGAUAAUCUAGAUAUUACUGAGU